rnacentral:rRNA from 1 species
UGUAAGCGUAUACCAAAGUUGUUGCAGUUAAAACGCUCGUAGUCGGAAUUUGGCAGUUCCGGAUGUGUGCACGUCGUGUGCGCACUUCGCGGGGAUUGCUUUUGUGGUCUUGCGUAGGAUGAGGCACUUUUAUUAGUGAACGUCCUCACGCAACCACUUUUUACUGUGAGAAAAUCAGAGUGCUCAAAGCAGGCAUUUGCCGUGAAUGUAUUAGCAUGGAAUAAUAGAAUAGGACUUGGUUCUAUUUUGUUGGUUUGUUGGGACUGAGUAAUGAUUAAGAGGGACAGUUGGGGGCAUUUGUAUUUCGGCGCUAGAGGUGAAAUUCUUAGAUUGCCGAAAGACAAACUGCUGCGAAAGCGUCUGCCAAGGAUGUUUUCAUUGA